rnacentral:rRNA from 1 species
CCUACGGGUGGCAGCAGCGGGGAAUAUUGGGCAAUGGGCGCAAGCCUGCCCCAGCAACGCCGCGUGCAGGAAGAAGGCUUUCGGGUUGUAAACUUCUUUUCUGAGGGACGAAGAAAGUGACGGUACCUCAGGAAUAAGCCACGGCUAACUACGUGCCAGCAGCCGCGGUAAUACGUGGGUGGCAAGCGUUAGACGGAUUUAUUGGGUGUAAAGGGCGUGUAGGCGGAAAAGCAAGUCAGAUGUGAAAACUCAGGGCUCAACCCUGAGCCUGCAUUUGAAACUGUUUAUCUUGAGUGCUGGAGAGGCAAUCGGAAUGCCGUGUGUAGCGGUGAAAUGCGUAGAUAUACGGAGGAACACCAGUGGCGAAGGCGGAUUGCUGGACAGUAACUGACGCUGAGGCGCGAAAGCGUGGGGAGCAAACAGGAUUAGAUACCCCGGUAGUC